rnacentral:lncRNA from 1 species
CACCCUUUGAGCAGACACUGCAGUUCUGUAUGUGGUUUUAAAUCACUGUAAAUUUGUAGGCAGGUACAUAUCACAAUUGUCUGUUUUUCUUUUUAGGGCUCAUGUAAUCAAAGAAGUUUCUUUGUUGUGUGUAUCUUUUCAGAACACAACAGGAAUUGAAAAUGAAUCAGAACCCAGCCUUGGCAGCCGCUCUGCCUCCUCCCCUCACGCUCCAUUUUCGAAUCACAGAACGCAGCUGAGCCUGUGGCAGGCGCCGAGACCCCGGCCGCCUGGCCGAGGUGCCUGAACAUGUGCUUCGAGGACUUCCGGAGGAAGUGAGGCUUUUCCCAUCUGCUGUUGACAAGACUCGGAUUGGUGAGUGCUGGGCUCUCAGAAGGAGGCAGGAGGCAGGGCAGGCGGCUCGAGGCCUCCUCGGGGGGCUUCAGGUAGGGGAGUUACUGUAAAGCAGCAGAUCUAUACUUGGACCUAGAAGAUGACGUUUGUCGCUUGAAGAUCCAGGAUGGACACAGAAUAUGAAAGGAAACAGAAGCACACCCACACCCACCCACCAUCCUUCGUGACUCAGCCGGAGCAGCCCCGGCCUCUGUGUCUGCUCAGGCUCUUCCCACAGCCUGCAUUGCUCUCUCCUCUCUGAUUGCACCGUGAUUUGGGUGUGACGAUGCUGUUAUAUUUAUGUCAUCGUUGUAUUUGUUUUUGUAUCUGUCCCUUUCAUUGACUGUGAGUGUCUUCAUUUCUUUUUUCUUUUCUUUUUUGUCUUUUCUAGGGCCACACCUGCAGCAUAUGGAGGUUCCCAGGCUAGGGGUCUAAUUGGAGCUAUAGCUGCCAGCCUGCACCACAGUCACAGCAGCGUGGGAUCUGAGCCGCGUUUGCGACCCACACCACAGCUCACGGCAACGCCGUAUCCUUAACCCACUGAGCGAGUCCAGGAAUCGAACCCACAACCUCGUGGUUCCUAGUCAGAUUCGUUAACCACUGAGCCACGAUGGGAACUCCCCCCUUUCUUAUUUAUCUUGAUGUCGCUAACCUGACGCUUUGUGGACCUCAGUAGAUGUUUGAGGGAAUAGAUAUCCUG